rnacentral:lncRNA from 1 species
UGAUGAGAGAAGGGCCCUGACUCUGCCCUGUCCAUGCUCCUUGGUUAGCAGAGCGAGGACCAUAACCCACCCUCCAUCCUCCAGAGCACACUCACAGAUGCCCCUUUGCAGGCCAUCUACAAGAUGGUGUCCUGUGUGAUGAAGAUCCCCGAGGACGAGUCCAUGCCCGAGAAGUGAACAGACAAGAUCUUCAGGCAGAUGGACACAAACAAUGAAGAGGCCAGAAAAGUGCACUGGGUCGCCCUGGAACUGGAGUUACAAAUGAUUGGGAACCGCCCUAUGGAUGCUGGGAACUUUAUCCAGGACCCUCUGCAAAAGCAGCAACUGCUCUUAACUGCUGAGCCAUCUCACCAGCCAUAAAGGAGAGUCUUUUUUUUGCUUGUUGGUUUGUUUUUUAGAGACAAGGUUUCUCUGUGUAGCCCUGGCUGUCCUAGAACUUGCUGUUUAGACCAUGUUGGCUUCAAACUCAGAGAUCCACCAGUCUGCCUCCUGAGUACUGGGAUUAAAGAUGUGUGCCACCACUGCUCAGCUCAGAAGAAUCUUACUGAAGAAUUAUCUAGAUCAGUGGUUCUCAACCUAUGGGUUCCAACCCCUUUGAGGGAUCAAAUGAACUUUUCCCAGAGGUGGCAUAAGCCCAACAGAAAACACAAAUUUUCAUAUUCAGAUUCAUAACAAUAGUGUAAUUACGGUUAUGAAGUAGCAGUGAAAAUAAUCUUAUGGUUGAGGGUCACUACAACACAAGGAACUGCAUUAAAGGGUCACAGCAUUAGGAAGGCUGAGAACCACUCAUCUAGAUCAUGGCAGUCUAUGAGCAUGCCUGUUGGGGGUUGUGUUGAUGGUUAAUUGAUGUGGGAAAUCCCAUUACUAUUGUCUAGACAGGGGGCCUGAACAGUAUAAUAAAGGGAAAAGAAGAGUAUCAGAAAAAAAGUGCAGAGUAUCAUUAUGAGCCAGGUGCUCAUACCUCUAUUCUCUCUGCCCUGUGAGGUUUUAAAGCCUUGACUUCCUGAAGUGAUGAAUUGUAAACCAAAGAAAACUUCCUCCCUUAAGUUGCUUUUAGUCAGGGGAUUUUUAUCACAGUAACAGAAGUGUAAUUUGACCUGCAGUCAUAAUUUGUCCUGUCUCCCCAGCUGCCCCAGAUCGUGGUGGCUCUCCAGGCCUCUAGGUGGGGCUAUCAGCUUACUUCAGGCCACAGAGUUCAUUACCAAACCUAACCUCAUGGCUAUUGCUCAAUCCCCAUGACCUACACCUUGAAAGGACAACCAGCUCUUACAAGUUGUCCUCUGACCACUUGUGUGCUUCAAAAUGGCAUAUGUCCCAAAAUGUCCCUGGAAGAAUUCAACAAAGGUGCCAAGAGCGACCCAUCCAUUGUCCGGUUGCUGCAGUGUGACCCCAGCAGUGCUAGCCAGUUCUCAGGGGAAUGGGCUUUUGCAAAGUUGCGAGAAACACAGGCUUGACCUGCCAUCUUCAGCUUUGCUUGCAAAAGUGGAUUUCUCCGUGAUUUCUCCUGCUCUCUUGGGACCUGGGUCCAGGCAGCACAUCACACUCACCUGAUCUGGGUGGAUGCAGCUCCCUCCUCUAUCUGAUCCAAUAGAUGUCCCUCCCCAUCCAGUCCAGGCUGGUUCCUUCCAAGGUUUCAAGUGUUCUCGGCUGUAGGGCUCCUUCCCUGCCCACAGAGGGCCUGAAGGCCCUUAAGGACACCAGACAGGACUUUUCAGUAUCUUACCUAGACCAGCUGAUUUAUUUGAUGAUCCCAGCUGACUUUGUGAGGAUGAAGAAGAUGGAGAGCAGACAGGCAAGCCCUUCCUGUGCAUGGCUCCACCUCCCUUGUUCAUUUUCUCUGACCAAAGCUGCUUGCAUGUAUAUACCGUGGUAUCUUUACUUUUAAUAUAUAAGUUUUUUAUAAAGUGAGAAGUUUCAGCCCCUGUAUUUAAAGCCUCUGACUGCCGUUAAAGCAUGGUCCCCUGUGGCCUGUGAUUCCCCCUACCCCCAAGUCUGACUGUUGUGUGGUAUUUAUGUAUUCAUUUGCCUAAUUACACAGGAGAUACAUGCACGCCCAAGGCUGUGGACAUCUGCCCUCCGUCCUGCAAACACAGGUGUUCCUGUGUGCUCCGUCCUUCCUUUCUAUUGGUCUGGCA